UGUCGAAUUCUAUGUGAAAUCGGACUGCAUCUGUGGAAAGCCUCUGACCGAGCUCCUACGGCAAGUGGUCCUCUCCUACAGCCUUAACGCCCAAGGCACCCAACAGGAUUUGCAACAUCCGCGCUCCUCUCAGAUGGAUAGCUACCUCUCUCCGUCAGGCACCUCAACCGAACUUCGGUCGACAGGCCUGGACCCCCUGGCAGGCCACAGUAACGGCCACGACUUUGCUCCACUUCCUGCGGUGGAUUCCAUGCGGCUCCAUCACCCCCUGGUAGGCCACAGUAAUGGCCACGACUCUGCUCCACUUC
rnacentral:lncRNA from 1 species